rnacentral:rRNA from 1 species
UACGUACGAGGCAAGCGUUAUCCGGAAUUACUGGGCGUAAAGCGCGCGCAGGCGGUGCGGUAAGUCUGCGGUGAAAUCUCCCGGCUCAACUGGGAGGCUGCCGUGGAAACUGCCGUGCUUGAGUGUGGGGAGAGGUGAGUGGAAUUCCCGGUGUAGCGGUGAAAUGCGUAGAUAUCGGGGAGGAACACCUGUGGCGAAAAGCGGCUCACUGGACCACAACUGACGCUGAGGCGCGAAAGCUAGGGGAGCAAACAGGG